CCUACGGGAGGCUGCAGUGGGGGAUAUUGCACAAUGGGGGAAACCCUGAUGCAGCGACGCCGCGUGGGCGAAGAAGUAUUUCGGUAUGUAAAGCCCUAUCAGCAGGGAAGAAGAAAUGACGGUAUCCGAGUCAGAAGCACCGGCUAAAUACGUGCCAGCAGCCGCGGUAACACGUAGGGUGCAAGCGUUAUCCGGAUUUACUGGGUGUAAAGGGAGCGCAGGCGGCACGGCAAGCCUGAUGUGAAAGCCCGGGGCCCAACCGCGGGACUGCAUUGGGAACUACCGGGCUGGAGUGCCGGAGAGGUAGGCGGAAUUCCUAGUGUAGCGGUGAAAUGCGUAGAUAUUAGGAGGAACACCAGUGGCGAAGGCGGCCUACUGGACGGUGACUGACGCUGAGGCUCGAAAGCGUGGGGAGCAAACAGGAUUAGAUACCCGAGUAGUC
rnacentral:rRNA from 1 species